UCAGCAGUCAAGAAUAUUAGUCAAUGCUCGCAAGAGUGAACUAGCUAACUGAAAUCCUUGGUGUGUCAUCGAGGAUAACGUAAGGGAAAAUAAUGAUACCACCUUACUAUUAGUGUCGCCCAAAUGCUCGUGCCAGAAGACUCGGUAAGGCGAGAGACGCAAACGUUAUUCGUCUUGAUCAGGCGUAAAGGGUUUGUAGGCGGCUUUAAGUAUCCAAUUUUAAGUUUACUAUUAUAAUGCUAUAAGUGUUAUAAUAUUUAUUAAAGGGUCAAUUAAAGCUAGAAUCUAAAAGAGGUUAAAACAAUACUUAAGGUAGGUGUACUAACCAUAAAUAAUAAGCAGAGUGUUAAGGGCGAAGGCAUUUAUCCACUGAAGAUUGACGCUGAGAAACGAAGGUGAGGACAGAAAAAAGGAUUAGAGACCCUUGUAUCCCUCACUGUCAACGAUGAAUGGUAGUUACUAGGGAUAAAUAACCUAGAGACGAUGUUAACACGAAAACCAUUCCGCCUUGUGAGUACGACUGCAAAGUCGAAAACAAAAAAAUUAGUCGGUUUCGGAGCAAACGAAGUGAAGCAUGUUAUUUAAUUCGAUAAUCCGCAAUC
rnacentral:rRNA from 1 species